AUCCAGCUGUAAUUGCUGCAAUUGUUUGUGGAGGGCAAACAAAUGGACAUAGUCCUCGUGGAAGAUGAAUGACAUGGUACAGUUACAGGGGAAUGACUGAAUAUGGUGUGAUAUGACAUAGGAUACAGCUAUGAAAUGAAUCAAAUAUAAGUGGAUUGAUCUGAAGUGAUAGCUGUGGUCUGAUGACUGAGAUAAGCAACUUGCCAAGAAAUUUAUAUAGCAUAAUCUCAUUUUCUACUUCUCCAAACCUCAAGCCGUAUCUAUGUUUUAUAAAUAUAGGACAAAAUACAUAAGACUAUACCUGA
rnacentral:lncRNA from 1 species